rfam:Gossypium hirsutum cultivar TM-1 chromosome 15, whole genome shotgun sequence
AAACCAUGCAUCGGGUAUUUUCUAAUUAGUUCUUUGAAAUGCUCCCAUGCUUCAUAUAAUGUUUCAUCUUCUGAUUGCCUAAACAAUGUAAUGUCAUUCCUAAGCUU